rnacentral:rRNA from 1 species
GGGGUAAACGGAAAAGACCUGAAUAUCCGAAAGGGGAGAUUCACGUCUUACCAGUUGCUCAACUUUUAAAUGAUUUGAGAUGGCCUCUCGCCCUAUUCAGUGUAACAGCUGUGGUAGUGGGUUUGGUCGCUCGCAUUUAAAUUGGAAGGGUAAUGGUGGACCGCACUUCUCCCUUAGUAGGACGUUGCGACCUGUCAAAUAAUAUCCUAAGUAUUUGGCUAAUUUGUCUGUUUUUAGGCAGUACUGAAAGGUAUUUCCUUUAACAGUUUUAGCCGUUUAAAUACUGGAUAAAAUUGACAGUAACGAAUCAUGGUGUUGAGCCACUUGAAAUUGUAUAUUUAAUUAUGUAUAAUGGAAAGUGUCCUUGUGGCUGUUUGCAAGUGGGUUGGCAAUUAGUUUUAGUCGGAUUUUGGUCCGUCUAGCUAUUCCGCCUACUGUUGGUAAACUGUUCCUUGGACUGUGCUUAUAACACCGGUCGGCAGCGAUUCAGGUUCAGGCUCUUAUCCGACCCGUCUUGAAACACGGACCAAGGAGUUUAGCGUGUACGCAAGUCAUUGGGUGUAUAAAACCCAAAGGCGCAAUGAAAUUGAA